GCUCUCGGUUCUCAGCAAAAAACAUUGACAACCUUCCAAUUAUGUGCAUUCAAUCUACUGCACAUGUGUACCACCGGGAUACAUUGGUACAGAUCAGAGAAUAUGCAGGAAACUUUAUUACAGACGGAAUACUCUACACACUACGUGAGCUUUUGCCUGCUACGGAACCAGCACCUCAGCCUGCGGUGUCGCUCGAUUCCGCUAGCCGGGGAAGGGGACAUUGAAAGCGAUGAGUUUGAGCUAGGUGGAAAGCUAACGCUAGCCGGCCACCUGUCCCAUCCAUAGCCGGCCACCUGUCCCAAAGUGUCCGCUAAUUAGACAACAGACUGGACUACAUCCAACUUCCACAAAACUCCCAACGUGAGUUCAGAGACUGCUGUGUUUUUGUUUUUGUGGAAACAUGGCUGAACAACAGUGUACCGGACUCCGAUAUCCAGCUACCAGGCCUGCUAGCCUUCCGAGCAGAUACAGAUGCUGCUCUGUCGGGUAAGACUCGUGGAGAUGGGCUGUAUUUGCUAACACGGACUGGUGCUGAAAUGUGGUGCUUGUAUCCAACUACUGCUCACCGCUGGUGGA